GAGCAUUUCAGGUUUUCAGACAGAGCAGGCUGUGCAAAACUUUUCCGCAGCGGAGACCAGAAAACGUUUUUCCUCUCCUUUCCGUUCUGCUUUCGUGCAGGCUGAGCUGCUGGGUCAUGAACGUGUGGAGCGAGAUGCCUGGGUCCACAGCAUCCCACAUUCUAAACACAAUGGUGUGCGCAGGCUCACGUGAAGGUAUUUGACUGUCAGGGCAGCAUGUGUAGCUUAAACAGCCAUUUUCCACCUCCUUUGCCCUGUGUACAGUGUACUUGCCCUAUGAGCUCCCAGCCAGAUCAGGCCACUGGAUUAGCAUGCAUGAAUAAACACAAAGGCAUGUACUCCUUAAAAACAAUGCAGUUCUCUCCUCACUGAAGCAGGAAAAUUCAGCUGAAUCUGUUGGAGUUCCCUCUGGUUUGUGCAGGUAGAGUUGAGACUCAGUCUCUAUCAUCUUUUCGUCCUGUAAAACCUACACACUGCAAUUUACUGUACUCCUGACUCAAAAGUAAUAUCUGCUAUGCAAAUUUUUGGCAGAAGGAGACCAUUCUGGAUCCAAGGAUGUUUCCUGCGGCAAGUUAUAACUGGACGACCACUGGAACAGCGCGAAUGCAGAACAGGACAUUUUAACUGGAAAGCAACCCAGCAGGCCGGGGGAAAGAAAUUCAGAUGUCAUAUUGCUGGUUCUGGCUACAGUACAUAGACAUUAUGAAAAGACAGCACCAGGAGACCUUAAGCUGUACAGUGGGGAUAGUGAUUCUCUUCCACCUUGAAAACGAUGAAUGUGAAGCACUCUGGAAGGAUUCAGCAUGAUUAUUCUCCUCUGCCUUUUAUUUCAUUCGUCUGUGGUUUUACUACUUUUAGCUAAAUAUCUUAAAGCCUGAAUUAGGAAGCAUUAAAAUGUAUCAUUUCUGACUCUCCUUAAUUCAGGUUUUCCAUUAAUUUCACUGCUUGUUACCUCAGCCGUAUCCUCGAUUUCUUUUCCUCCCUUUGAGCCUGCAAAUUUACCUUAUCUCUGUCUCUGUAAAACUUUAUAUAUAUGCCUUGGCCUUGACUGGUCUAAUAUUCAGCUGUUUUGCUCUGAUUUUGUCAACAUUGUUCUGUGUAUUUGUUUUACAGAAAAUACUAGUUUCUCCUAUUCUGCACAAGCAGAAAACAUAAAUAAAUAAUCUGUACCUGCAAAGGGAUAUAGUAGA
rnacentral:lncRNA from 1 species